GGCUAGCCUCCAACUUGGUAGGUAGCUGAAGGUGACCUUCACCUCUUCUACAGACCCCUGGGUUCUGGCACUAAUAGGCUCAUCCAGGAUCUACAGCAUUCAGAUGGUCAUAGACGGCUCCACCUCUUCCUCUUCACUUCUUCAAGGACGACCCUGCCCAGACUCUGACACCGACUGGCUGUGUGAUCCUGGACAGACUGCAUCACCUCAUGGACAUUUUUUCAUCUGUGAGGGGAAGAUUUCCUGGCAGUGGUCUGAGAAAUGGUGGCAAGGACUGAAGGAGUUACAUGCAUGGAGAGUACUGUACCACCAGUUGGGCAGAGAUGGAAUUGCACUUCUUUUUGCUCUGUCUUUUCAUCAUCUUAGAAGUGGGUGGAGCCUCCUCUUCAUAAUUCCUACAGGGUUUAAUACUGAGGAGAAACUUUGUAAAGUAAAGGAUUUUUAGGGUUGGGGCGGUGGCACAGUAGGUAAAGCGCUCGCUGUGUCAGCCUGAGGACCCGGGCUGGUACUUACAACAAAGCAUGGUAUGAUCAUCAAUAAUGCCAGCACAGUUGCAUAACGACGGGCACAUCCCCGGGGAAUCAGCUGCCAGCCAAUCUCAUGCUAGGUUCAGUGAGCAAUUUCUCCCCAAAAAUAAGCUGGAGAAGGACAGAGGAUGACGCUGAACUUUGACCUCUGGCCUCCACACACAUGCAUGAGUGAGUGCACCCACAUCAACACACACACACACAUGUGAAAAACAAAUCUUUUAAAAUAAUAAUAUGGGUCCCUAAGUACUGGAAUUGAGAACAGUGCCUACAUCCCAACGUUUGUAAGAUGUCAGUGGACUGCAGAAUAAGUGUGGGGAUAGUCCUCAUGGUAAUUAUUUGAAGUUUCUUUCGGGCGGUAGUAAAUGUCAAAUUCUUUCCAUUAA
rnacentral:lncRNA from 1 species